ensembl:snRNA U1 U1 spliceosomal RNA
CCCCUUAUCUGGCGGGGGACAGGCCGUGGUCAGGAAGGGGGUUCUCCCUGGACGAGGUUAGUCCACCGCACUUCGGCGGCGCUGACCCCUGCGAUUUCCCCACACGCGGGGCCCUGAUCUGCGGUGGUGUUA